UACGAGAGGCCCAACCGUUAUUCGGAUUUACUGGGCUUAAAGAGUUCGUAGGCGGCGCAGAAAGUAGGGUGUGAAAGCCCUCGGCUUAACCGAGGAAUUGCGCUCUAAACUACUGUGCUUGAGGAACCUAGAGGUGAGCAGAACUGAUGGUGGAGCGGUGAAAUGCGUUGAUAUCAUCAGGAAUACCGGAGGCGAAGGCGGCUCACUGGGGGUUAUCUGACGCUGAGGAACGAAAGCCAGGGGAGCGAACGGG
rnacentral:rRNA from 1 species